AACCUAUGGUGACGGCACUUUCUCAGUAAAUCCUUGUAUCUCUCCCAUGCAUCGUAAAAUGUUUCUAAAUCCAUCUGUACAAAAAAAAGAGAUAUCAUUAUGCAAUUU
rfam:Gossypium hirsutum cultivar TM-1 chromosome 10, whole genome shotgun sequence